rnacentral:rRNA from 1 species
GGGCCCGCACAAGCGGUGGAGCAUGUGGUUUAAUUCGAUGAUACGCGAGGAACCUUACCAGGGCUUAAAUGUAGGUUGCAUGAUCUAGAGAUAGAUCUUUCUUCGGACUACCUACAAGGUGCUGCAUGGUUGUCGUCAGCUCGUGCCGUGAGGUGUCAGGUUAAGUCCUAUAACGAGCGCAACCCCUGUCGUUAGUUACCAGCAAUUAAAGUUGGGUACUCUAGCGAGACUGCCGGUGACAAACCGGAGGAAGGUGGGGAUGACGUCAAAUCAUCACGGCCCUUACGUCCUGGGCUACACACGUGCUACAAUGGCCGGUACAGAGAGCAGCCACUUCGCAAGAAGGAGCGAA